AACAAAAUCACAAUACCCGUCUUAUCACUACAGAUCUCCCAAGAGAAAAGCAAAGCACAGUCUCACUGGCUUGAUAUCCAGUGAAACUGAAUACAGUCUCUUACUGAUUCUGUGUUAAACAAGUAAUCGCAUGGACCAAACUAUCCCAAAAUUUGGCUUUCAGGAAAGGAAAAAAUACAACAGCACCUUGGUUUUCAUAAGCAGAUGAAAGAACAGCGCUACAAACGUUAGAAUUACUCUCACUGAACAGCUUCAUCCACUGCUAAUGAUGACAUGAUGCUGCAUCUUUCAAGAUCCCUCUGUCUCUUUCACUCUCAAGAGGUAUUCGACAGGGUCAGACAGAGAUUCAACAAGAAGAUUGGAACAUCCUUCAUCAUCCGAAACACCAGGGGUUUGGGCUUUAUCCCAGUGUGUGCUGAAACUCUCAGAAAUAUCAGUUAAAAGGCCCAACCAAUCAGUGCUCUCAGCUUGCUUAAGAUUUAGCGCCCCAGUCAUGAAGUGCGCAUAAGCUAUUCUGUUUCUUUCUUCUAUUUCAUUAUGUAAAACUCAAUUCAAUGGAUGAUGUAAUAAAUAACAACAGCACCUGAGACGUAAGACAUCUUUAGUAAUCAUAUGGUGCCAAAUUACUUUACAAAUGGACACGAUGCAAAAUAACAGUAAGCACUUUGAACAAUGACCUGUAUUUAAAUGUAAACAAACUGAAUGCAUUAAUACAAUAUCGCUCGAGCAGGAGUGUGAUUAGGCCAGUGGCACGAGGCCACUGUAAUUGACAACGCGCCAUUGAAUAAUUUGUAUUAUUAUUUUUGUUGCCUUUCAGUAUAUAUCCUCAACAGA